GACGAACGCUGGCGGCGUGCCUAAUACAUGCAAGUUGAGCGCUGAAGGUUGGUACUUGUACCAACUGGAUGAGCAGCGAACGGGUGAGUAACGCGUGGGGAAUCUGCCUUUGAGCGGGGGACAACAUUUGGAAACGAAUGCUAAUACCGCAUAAAAACUUUAAAAACAAGUUUUAAGUUUGAAAGAUGCAAUUGCAUCACUCAAAGAUGAUCCCGCGUUGUAUUAGCUAGGUGGUGAGGUAAAGGCUCACCAAGGCGAUGGUACAUAGCCGACCUGAGAGGGUGAUCGGCCACAUUGGGACUGAGACACGGCCCAAACUCCUACGGGAGGCAGCAGUAGGGAAUCUUCGGCAAUGGACGAAAGUCUGACCGAGCAACGCCGCGUGAGUGAAGAAGGGUUUCGGAUCGUAAAACUCUGUUGGUAGGGAAGAACGUUGGUGAGAGUGGAAAGCUCAUCAAGUGACGGUAACUACCCAGAAAGGGACGGCUAACUACGUG
rnacentral:rRNA from 1 species